CGAGGGCUGUCGCAAGAGGUCGGAGGCAAAACUGAGUGUGAGGGGGUUACGAGUGCUGGUCCUGCGUCGCAUCAGGUCCGAGUCUGAGGUGGAGCUCAGAGUACCGGUCUUCAGGAACAACAUCAAUCAGACAGGGCCUGCAGGUCCCUGCAGGGGGGAGAGUCAUAACAUUAUAAAGCUGCUAAUGGCCAUCCGAACCUGGGCUCAAAGGACGGACAGUACUGGCUCUGGAGCAGCAUGUGUACACGCUGUGUCUGUGUGGAGUCCGGAGUCGCUAGGGCAAUGGACCUGCCUGUUCUGCUCGGAGAAAAUGGGGGAGGAGACGGGCCGAGAACAGAGAGGAGAAAAAAAGAUAGCAGUGGCAGUUGUACAGAUAACUCAUCCAAAGGGCUUUGACUUCUCAAACUUGGCAGAAAGCUAACAUAAUAUGAUGCCCCGUCACCUUAUUAAUUCAGCACUUACUUAGAUACUGUGCAUUCGGAAAGUAUUCAGACCCCUUCACUUUUUCCACAUUUUGUUACGUUAGAGCCUUAUUUGUCCUCAUCAAUCUACGCAUAAUACCCCAGAAUGACAGAACAAAAACUUGUAGCAAAUUUAUUAAAAAUAAAAACUGAAAUAUCCCAUUUACUGUACAUAAGUAUUCAGACCCUUUACUCAGUACUUUGUUGAAGCACCUUUGGCAUUGUUGACCUUCAAUAUAAAACACAACCCCGUCAAUACACAGAUGGACUCACCUGUUCCUGCUUACUCCCAUUGUGCUAUAACACGAACAAACAUGUGACUGGCUCAACUGUUCUGGGGAACUACGGUAAGUCUCAUAAUGUAAAAUAAUGUGACAGGUGAAAAGAAGAACACAAUCUGCUUUAUCUCCUAAUGCUCUCCUAACAUAUUGCACAGGUUGACUGCAGGUAUUUACCUAAAUACACACAAAUAUUACAAUUUAUUGAAAGACUUCAAAGAAAUAGUUUCAAAGGUAUUGACGGUAUUGAAAACCCAUCCUGUGGCUAUUUCCAAAUACCCUGGUAUACGGGGUCCACUGCCCAAGCCUAAUUGAUUCCCAUUCAAAAUCCUAUUUUCCCUAACCCCUAAACCUAACCCUUAACCAAACCCUAACCCUAACCCUAACUCCAACUCUUAACCCCUAAUCCUAAUUGUAACCCUAACCCCUAAACCUAACCCCUAAGCCUAAAACAGCCAUUUUCAUUUUGGGGACCGGCAAAUUGUUCCCGGAGUAAUGUUCCCAGGAAAUGUCCUUGUUUUACACUCACAUACACACAUUAACAAACAAACACAUGCAUUCAGUGACUGAUCAAUUAAGAUCAAUCAAGUACAACAAUAUAAUGCAUUUUUAUUGUGUAUGAUGAAUUGUACCCAUUUACAAUUCAUUCGUGCUUGUGUGGGCACCUGCGUUCAUGACUGAAUGCAUUACUGGGAUACAAAAUAAAUAGAUGUUCAGUGGAUUUGAGCUGGCACACUGACAAUAUUUCCAUGACAACAAGCUCUCCGACACGGCACUUCUCAUGCCCAAAUGACUAACGUAACGGUAUUGUGUCUACAGCCUCACUAGCCAGGUCUGUUUGCUUGUCCCUCUGUCCUUUGCAGGGGUCGCAAAACAAACUGGAAAAUAAUGAAAUUUUUAAGGAACAGAAUCAGAACCAGACCAGGGAACGAAAGUGAUCUAUAUUGUUCUGGAACAUAACCAUUUUUGAAAUAAAAAAAUGCAACAAAGCGCCUAUGCAAAGCUCUCCCUCUGUCAAUCAUUAACUUCUUCCAAAGUCUGCCAGGUGAAAAUCUUUGCCAGAGUGUGUGCGUGUAGUCUAUCUGCCCCUCAGAAGUAUAGCUGUAGCCUGCGGACAUUACAAACAUAAUCCACAAGAUAGGGAGAGAGAUUUUUUAUUACAGCAGGAUGGAUGAACUUUUUCAACGCUAGUUAGGGAUCCUAUAGUUCACAUUGGAUUUAUUAACUAUAAAAAGGUAAGAUGUGUUGUUAAUUCAGGUGCCGCUGUGCACACGAAAGCUUGUUAGCUAGCCAGCUACUCUGCGCCAACGUUAAGCCAACUCUGAAGUUCAAAGACAUUCAAAAUUCUACCCUAGAAGCCGCUCCUCCGUAGGUAUAAAUCUGUGGGCCUCCUCCUCAACCCUCUCUCGCUGUCUCCCCACUCGCAAAAUUUCAGUUGCAUCUCACGCCCUACACUUGUCUUUCCAUAACGCAUGUGAACAACUCACUGAGCUAUAGCGUGCCAGCUCUAUAGCAAGCUUGUAAGGGGUGCAUAACCGGUGGCAGGGAAGUCAGACGCAGGAGAGCAGAACUUGGUAAUAGCCGGGUAAUCGCAAAACCAACGGCAUAAAAAAUAGCAAGAUAUUGGGUACAAAAACCCGUCAUGCACCAAUCAUCACAUGCACAAGCACCACAAUAAACAAUCCCACACAAAGACAUGGGGGGAACAGAGGGUUAAAUACACAACAAGUGAUUGAGGGAGUUGAAACCAGGUGUGAGGAAAAACAAGACAAAACACAUGGAAAAUGAAAAGUGGAUCGAUGAUGGCUAGAAGACCUGGCGACGCCAACCGCCGAGCACCACCCGAACAAGGAGAGGACCCAACUUCGGCGGAAGUCGUGACAAAGCAUCUCUAUCCAUACUGCAUGAUUGGAAAAGUAAUUUAAUGUCGAGCUAAAUGGAAAAUAAAUAAAGGUUUAAAAAGGAACAGAAAGUAAUGAUAUAAACGGGUACUUUGGGGAGGUUGAACCAGUUCAGAACUGUAGUUUGCUGGUCGGAACAGUGUAACGAAAAAUAUUAUAGGUUCUGUUCAGAACAAAACAAUUGGAAAAUAAUUUUAGUUCCAACCCCAGGCCCUGUGUACAUGUACAAGAGACAAAACACAGGAGCAUACAAGUAUUUUAAUUUUUUAAAUAAAACAAAAUCACAAAAGUAGUGCACUGGGCCUUUACUUGUCCUGUAUUAGCGGACCUAUAUAGGCUUCCGUAGAGCGUGCAAAAAAUACAUAAUCUGCACCCCCCCUAUCCUCCUGCAGCACCCCCACCCCCAAACUACUUAGUGCAGCUAUGCACAGGAUGGGAAUGGGGCGUGGGGAUGUCACGCCCUGAUCUGUUUCACCUGUCUUUGUGAUUGUCUCCACCCACCUCCAGGUGUCACCCGUCUUCCCAAUUAUUCCCAUGGUAUUUAUUCCUGUGUUCUCUGUUUGUCUGUGCCAGUUUGUCUUGUCAAGUCAACGAGCGUGUUUUUCUGUGCUCCUGCUUUUUCUUGUCUCUGUUUUUCUAGUCCUCCUGGUUUUGACCUUUUGUCUGCCCUGACACUGAGUCCACCUGCCUGACCAUUCAGCCUGCCCUGACCUUGAGCCUGCCUGACUCCCUGUACCGUUUGGAACUCUGAUCUGGUUCUGAACUUUUACCUGUCCUCGACCUGCCCUCUUGCCUGCCCUUUGUUGUUUAAUAAAUAUCAGAGACUCGAACCAUCUGCCUCCUGUGUCUGCAUCUAGGUCUUGCCCUGUGUUGUUAUAGGGGAUGAAUAAACAUGUUGCAGGUGAGGUAAGCAGGCCCAGACAGCUCCACCAUGUCCACUCCCCAGACAGAUAAAUUAGUAGAAGAGAGUUCACUGUGUCUGCAUCUGGGUCUUGCCCUGUGUUGUUAUAGGGGAUGAAUAAACAUGUUGCAGGUGAGGUAAGCAGGCCCAGACAGCUCCACCAUGUCCACUCCCCAGACAGAUAAAUUAGUAGAAGAGAGUUCACUGAGUCUGCAGCAGCUGGCUCCACAUACUGUAACACUGCAUCAUACAGUAGCAUCAUAUAAAAGUGAGAGGGAGACAGCCAUGACACUUGGAGGGACCAAAAUAUUCUGUAUGUGACUUUUACAGCACUCCCCACUAUAAAGAAGGGGAGUAAUGUUGUCACUUUGACUCUCUUGCUCUUUCCAUCUCUUUCUCUCAGUCUAACCCUCCACCAUUU